UUGAACGCUGGCGGCAGGCCUAACACAUGCAAGUCGAACGGUAACAGGAAGAAGCUUGCUUCUUUGCUGACGAGUGGCGGACGGGUGAGUAAUGUCUGGGAAACUGCCUGAUGGAGGGGGAUAACUACUGGAAACGGUAGCUAAUACCGCAUAACGUCGCAAGACCAAAGAGGGGGACCUUCGGGCCUCUUGCCAUCGGAUGUGCCCAGAUGGGAUUAGCUAGUAGGUGGGGUAACGGCUCACCUAGGCGACGAUCCCUAGCUGGUCUGAGAGGAUGACCAGCCACACUGGAACUGAGACACGGUCCAGACUCCUACGGGAGGCAGCAGUGGGGAAUAUUGCACAAUGGGCGCAAGCCUGAUGCAGCCAUGCCGCGUGUAUGAAGAAGGCCUUCGGGUUGUAAAGUACUUUCAGCGGGGAGGAAGGGAGUAAAGUUAAUACCUUUGCUCAUUGACGUUACCCGAAGAAGAAGCACCGGCUAACUCCGUG
rnacentral:rRNA from 1 species